rnacentral:rRNA from 1 species
UACGUAGGUGGCAAGCGUUGUCCGGAUUUACUGGGCGUAAAGAGCGCGCAGGCGGUCGAUCAAGUCGAGUGUGAAAGCCCCCGGCUCAACUGGGGAGGGUCAUUCGAUACUGAUCGACUCGAAGGCAGGAGAGGGUAGUGGAAUUCCCGGUGUAGUGGUGAAAUGCGUAGAUAUCGGGAGGAACACCAGUGGCGAAGGCGACUUCCUGGCCUGUUCUUGACGCUGAGGCGCGAAAGCUAGGGUAGCAAACGGG